AAUGAAAUGUUGUAGUGAUGAUGAUGAUGGCCAAUCAAAUGGACUAAUAAGGCCAUGAUGAUCCAGUUGGUGAAGUAAAUCCACCAGGCAUCUUUUUUGGCCUUCUGAUGGCUAAAGAUCCAAAUGGGACAGGCAAAAAAAGCCCUGUCAUCCUCAGAGCAGAGACUGGUAUUGCUGUCUUCUGAGUUCUUCAGUUUCCCAACUGAGACAUUCAAACCUCAUCACAGAGCUCAUGUCCAUCCACACCAUCAUGUGGGUGAGAGAUUGUUAUGUGGCCUGCAGCACCUAUGAGAACACAUUCGUGCCUGUAUUUCAGCUUCUUAUGAUCUACACAAGUGGCCAGAGUGUCAGUGUUUGAUCGCUCUCACAGAACCUGACUUCAGUCACCUCACUCCAGGAAGACAGAGGGCUGCAAGGUGUGUGUGUGUGUGUGUGUGUGUGUGUGUGUGUGUGUGUGUGUGUGUGUGUGGUCUAGAACUAUAGCAAGCUAUAGUUAUACAGUUCAUACAAACACACAGCUCUAAAUCUUGAUCAUGUGAUUAUUAAAUAUCUAUUGAACCAUUUCAUGUAUUUUUAUAGAAGGUACACAACCUCAAAAUGUGAAAGUGUUUAAGAGGAGAAAUAAUGAAAGCUCAAAGUGUGUUUGUAUGAAUCCUUAGUAUCGGGUGUAGAAUAGGUGUAACAGUGGUUUUUCACAUCUGUGCUUACACUGCUCUAAUAAAUAGGAAAUGGGUCACACAUAUAAAGUCUGUUUGAAGAUGAACCUGUGGUUAUCAGAGUGUGGUUAAGAAAGCCUUCAAAAGUUCAUGACAGUCACAUCCAGUGACAUGUGCUUCUGUUUAUCAUUUCAUAUGAGGUCACACAGCUGAGUUCAACCAUAACAUUCAUGCACUUCUAUUUGUGCUUCAGACUCUAUCCAAUCCUUUAAAUCAAGAUUGAAAGCAUACUUAUUUAACCUGGCUUAGGGUCGGGAGACCAGUUAA